GAUGAACGCUGGCGGCGUGCCUAAUACAUGCAAGUCGAGCGAACGGACGAGAAGCUUGCUUCUCUGAUGUUAGCGGCGGACGGGUGAGUAACACGUGGAUAACCUACCUAUAAGACUGGGAUAACUUCGGGAAACCGGAGCUAAUACCGGAUAAUAUUUUGAACCGCAUGGUUCAAAAGUGAAAGACGGUCUUGCUGUCACUUAUAGAUGGAUCCGCGCUGCAUUAGCUAGUUGGUAAGGUAACGGCUUACCAAGGCAACGAUGCAUAGCCGACCUGAGAGGGUGAUCGGCCACACUGGAACUGAGACACGGUCCAGACUCCUAAGGGAGGCAGCAGUAGGGAAUCUUCCGAAAAGGGCGAAAGCCUGACGGAGCAACGCCGCGUGAGUGAUGAAGGUCUUCGGAUCGUAAAACUCUGUUAUUAGGGAAGAACAUAUGUGUAAGUAACUGUGCACAUCUUGACGGUACCUAAUCAGAAAGCCACGGCUAAAUACGUG
rnacentral:rRNA from 1 species